rnacentral:rRNA from 1 species
UACGUAGGGGGCAAGCGUUGUCCGGAUUUAUUGGGCGUAAAGAGCGUGUAGGCGGCCAGGUAGGUCAGCUGUGAAAACUCGAGGCUUAACCUCGAGCUGUCGGCGGAAACCAUCUGGCUAGAGUCCGGAAGAGGAGAAUGGAAUUCCCGGUGUAGCGGUGAAAUGCGCAGAUAUCGGGAAGAACACCCGUGGCGAAGGCGGUUCUCUGGGACGGUAUGACGCUGAGACGCGAAAGCGUGGGGAGCGAACAGG